AUCGAACGCUGGCGGCAGGCCUAAUACAUGCAAGUCGAGCGGAGCUGGGGACGGGGCAGUACUGCCUAGGAAUCUGCCUGGUGGUGGGGGACAACUUCCGGAAACGGGCGCUAAUACCGCACACUCUCAGAUGAUCCUAGGUUGGAUUAGCUAGUGGGUGAGGUAAAGGCCUACCAAGGCGACGAUCCAUAGCCGGUCUGAGAGGAUGAUCGGUCACACUGGAACGGAGACACGGCCCAGACUCCUACGGGAGGCAGCAGUGGGGAAUCUUAGGCAAUGGACGAAAGCCUGAUCCAGCCAUGCCGCGUGUGGGAAGAAGGUCUUCGGAUUGUAAAGCGCUUGAGUUUGGGAGGCGUUAUCUACAGAGGAAGCGACGGCUAACUUCGUGCCAGCAGCCGCGGUAAUUC
rnacentral:rRNA from 1 species